rfam:Myotis brandtii contig247001, whole genome shotgun sequence.
GAGACACCCCGUGGAGCAGGAUUUGCAUUAGUGGGGCUUUGGUGCUCAUUGAAUCUGCCCCAUGAGUGUGUCCCU